GGGGAGUACGGUCGCAAGAUUAAAACUCAAAGGAAUUGACGGGGACCCGCACAAGCGGUGGAUGAUGUGGAUUAAUUCGAUGCAACGCGAAAAACCUUACCUACCCUUGACAUGGCUGGAAUCCUUGAGAGAUCAGGGAGUGCUCGAAAGAGAACCAGUACACAGGUGCUGCAUGGCUGUCGUCAGCUCGUGUCGUGAGAUGUUGGGUUAAGUCCCGCAACGAGCGCAACCCUUGUCAUUAGUUGCUACGAAAGGGCACUCUAAUGAGACUGCCGGUG
rnacentral:rRNA from 1 species